rnacentral:rRNA from 1 species
CAAUAGCGUAUAUUAAAGUUGUUGCGGUAAAAAAGCUCGUAGUUGGAUUUCUGUUGAGAGCGACCGGUCCAUACCAUGUAUGCGUAUCUGGCCUGCUCUCGGCAUCCUCUCGAUAGACGUUACUGCGCUUGAUUGCGUGGUGCGGAUCUCGGGACUUUUACUUUGAGGAAAUUAGAGUGUUCACGGCAGGCUUUCGCCAGAAUACAUUAGCAUGGAAUAAUACUAUAGGAUCUUGGUUCUAUUUUGUUGGUUUCUAGAAUUGAGAUAAUGAUUAAUAGGGACAAUUGGGGGCAUUCGUAUCAACACGUCAGAGGUGGAAUUCUUGGAUUGUGUUGCGACGAACUACUGCGAAAGCAUUUGCCAAGGAUGUUUUCAUUGA